rnacentral:lncRNA from 1 species
UCAACUCAUAACCACAAUGUGCAACCUUGCACUCUCAAAAGAUUGCUCAAAACAUAAUAAUUCCCAUCCAACACCAGGAAAACAGACUUCACUCCAACCAAUUUGGAUCCACACAAUUUCUGUAAUCAUAGACUUCUUCUGUCCAAAACACACAUAACUCUCGAUGAACAACAAUCAUAAUCUUUCAAUCAUAAUCAAUCUUCCAAUAACUUCUCAUAUAAUUCAAUCACAUAAUACUCCAAUUACAUAAUCAAUAACUCAUAAAUCAAUCUCUGAUUUAUUCUACAGACUCACUUCUCAGUAUUCAAAAACUAUCCAUUAUUCUUCAACAACAAAGAAAACAAAGAAAACAAAGAAGUAGCACCGAGCUUAACCCAUGCUCAUGACUAUCAUAGUCUAGCCCCUCAACAAACUUUUACAACUCCUACAUAAUUGCUACUGAUUUCUAGAUUCUAACUGUAAUCCUAUAAUAA